rnacentral:misc_RNA from 1 species
AUUACAUAUUACCUCCUCGUGGAUUCAGUUGCAGUUAACUUCCUUUGCUAUAUGGAAUAGAUAUCCCCUCAUUGUGGACUCAAAAAUCAUGUGAAUUACCUCAUUACUGUUAAACCAUGUUUUCCAACAAAUCCUUUGAAACAGUAGUAAAAUUUCAUAUUUACCUUGCUAAGCUUAUAAUAUUCUACCAAGCAACCCCACAAUAUAAAUACAUUACUUUAUGACAUCGCAAUGGACAGAGGA